rnacentral:lncRNA from 1 species
GAAAAACAUAUUCAAGGGGAAGAGAUGUAAUAGUUUUGACGUGACGACAGUUACUAAAGAAGCACCUGAACAGACACAUCACCUUCACUUUGGGAUGUGGAAUUUGCUAAGUAAGCCACAGAAAAUGAACAUCCCUUCAGAAUGGGUUUGAAGAGCUGAUCCAGUGGAUUAAAGAGGGGAAACUGGGAGUUCCCAAUUAACAAUGAAGCAGGAGCUGACUAAGGCUUUGAAACAGAAACCAGAUGAUGCACAAUAUUAUUGUCAAAGAGCUUAUUGUCACAUUCUUCUUGGGAAUUACUGUGUUGCUGUUGCCAACACAAAGAAGUCUUGUGAACUCAAUCCAAAUAAUUCCACUGCUAUGCUGAGAAAAGGGUAUUCAAUAGCUACUCUUUUUGUUGAGCUUGGACUGUAAAUGGUAGAUGUUUAAUU